GAUGAACGCUGGCGGCGUGCCUAAUACAUGCAAGUCGAGCGAACAGACGUGGAGCUUGCUCCUCUGACGUUAGCGGCGGACGGGUGAGUAACACGUGGAUAACCUACCUAUAAGACUGGGAUAACUUCGGGAAACCGGAGCUAAUACCGGAUAAUAUAUUGAACCGCAUGGUUCAAUAGUGAAAGACGGUUUUGCUGUCACUUAUAGAUGGAUCCGCGCCGCAUUAGCUAGUUGGUAAGGUAACGGCUUACCAAGGCGACGAUGCGUAGCCGACCUGAGAGGGUGAUCGGCCACACUGGAACUGAGACACGGUCCAGACUCCUACGGGAGGCAGCAGUAGGGAAUCUUCCGCAAUGGGCGAAAGCUUGACGGAGCAACGCCGCGUGAGUGAUGAAGGUCUUCGGAUCGUAAAACUCUGUUAUUAGGGAAGAACAAAUGUGUAAGUAACUAUGCACGUCUUGACGGUACCUAAUCAGAAAGCCACGGCUAACUACGUG
rnacentral:rRNA from 1 species